UACAGAGGUGGCAAGCGUUGUUCGGAAUUACUGGGCGUAAAGGGUGCGUAGGUGGCGCGGUAAGUCGGGUGUGAAAUCUCGGAGCUUAACUCCGAAAUUGCAUUCGAUACUGCCGUGCUCGAGGACUGGAGAGGAGACUGGAAUUCAUGGUGUAGCAGUGAAAUGCGUAGAGAUCAUGAGGAAGACCAGUGGCGAAGGCGGGUCUCUGGACAGUUCCUGACACUGAGGCACGAAGGCCAGGGGAGCAAACGGG
rnacentral:rRNA from 1 species